rnacentral:rRNA from 1 species
AUUGAACGCUGGCGGCAGGCCUAACACAUGCAAGUCGAGCGGAUGAAGGGAGCUUGCUCCUGGAUUCAGCAGCGGACGGGUGAGUAAUGCCUAGGAAUCUGCCUGGUAGUGGGGGAUAACGUCCGGAAACGGGCGCUAAUACCGCAUACGUCCUGAGGGAGAAAGUGGGGGAUCUUCGGACCUCACGCUAUCAGAUGAGCCUAGGUCGGAUUAGCUAGUUGGUGGGGUAAAGGCCUACCAAGGCGACGAUCCGUAACUGGUCUGAGAGGAUGAUCAGUCACACUGGAACUGAGACACGGUCCAGACUCCUACGGGAGGCAGCAGUGGGGAAUAUUGGACAAUGGGCGAAAGCCUGAUCCAGCCAUGCCGCGUGUGUGAAGAAGGUCUUCGGAUUGUAAAGCACUUUAAGUGGGAGGAAGGGCAGUAAGUUAAUACCUUGCUGUUUUGACGUUACCAACAGAAUAAGCACCGGCUAACUUCGUG